rnacentral:rRNA from 1 species
UACGUAGGGUGCGAGCGUUGUCCGGAAUUAUUGGGCGUAAAGGGCUCGUAGGCGGUUUGUCGCGUCGGGAGUGAAAACCUCGGGCUUAACUCGGGGCUUGCUUUCGAUACGGGCAGACUGGAGGUAUGCAGGGGAGAACGGAAUUCCUGGUGUAGCGGUGAAAUGCGCAGAUAUCAGGAGGAACACCGGUGGCGAAGGCGGAUCUCUGGGCCUUACCUGACGCUGAGGCGCGAAAGCUAGGGGAGCAAACAGG